UGUGGUAGUUGCUAGAAAAGCCUAGA
rnacentral:piRNA from 1 species